UACGGGGGGGGCAAGCGUUGUUCGGAAUUACUGGGCGUAAAGGGCUCGUAGGUGGCCAACUAAGUCAGACGUGAAAUCCCUCAGCUUAACUGGGGAACUGCGUCUGAUACUGGAUGGCUUGAGUUUGGGAGAGGGGUGCGGAAUUCCAGGUGUAGCGGUGAAAUGCGCAGAUAUCAGGAGGAACACCGGUGGCGAAGGCGGUUCUCUGGGCCUUACCUGACGCUGAGGAGCGAAAGCGUGGGGAGCGAACAGG
rnacentral:rRNA from 1 species